rnacentral:misc_RNA from 1 species
GAUGAAGAACGCAGCGAAAUGCGAUACGUAAUGUGAGUUGCAGAAUUCAGUGAAUCAUCGAGUCUUUGAACGCACAUUGCGCCCUCUGGUAUUCCGGAGGGCAUGCCUGUCCGAGCGUCAUUGCUGCCCUCAAGCACGGCUUGUGUGUUGGGCUCCGUCCCCCGAUCCCGGGGGACGGGCCCGAAAGGCAGCGGCGGCACCGCGUCCGGUCCUCGAGCGUAUGGGGCUUUGUCACCCGCUCUGUAGGCCCGGCCGGCGCUUGCCGAUCAACCAAAUUUUUAUCCAGGUUGACCUCGGAUCAGGUAGGGAUACCCGCUGAACUUAAGCAUAUCAAUAAGCGGAGGA